ensembl:lncRNA
AUGACUUGAAAACUGCUGAACAGCAACACAGCCCAUCUAACUUGGGAGAUGCAGUAGGAUUGCGUUGAAGAACAGGUAAAAAUCCCAGUGGCUAGAUGUGCUAAGCUAAGAGAGACAUACCCAAGAGACUUGGAAUUGCAGCAAAAGGUAGCUCUAUGAAGUAUUACCUUUGGGCGGGGGCGUGAAUACUUAUACAUACACAAGAUUUCUGUGGGGGGGUUUUGUCUUAAUUAUUGUGUGCACCUUCAGAGUGGUAGUCAUGAUGUGUAAAUGAAGUGUUACUGAAUAAAGUGCCCAAUCAGGGUAUUCACUAAACUACAGGGGUUUCAGUACUGCGACGUAAAAUAGGCUUUUCUGGAGGUGUGGCAAAGACGCCUCCUUACAAAAAAUUACAGGUGACUGAACAAAAUACUUCUCUCUUUUUUUUGGCGCAGGCAUUCCUAGGAUCAGCGAUUUAAGAUGAAGGACAAAACAAUCAUAUCCUUCCAGCCAUCCAUCUUCUAUACCGCUUAUCCUUUUUCAGGAUCACAGAGAACCUGGAGCCUAUCCUAGGGAGCAUGGGGCACAAGGCGGGGUACACCCUGGACAGGGUGCCAAUCCAUCGCAGUGCACAAUCACACACACAUUCACACACCCAUUCAUACACUACGGACACUUUAGACACGCCAAUCAGCCUACCAUGCAUGUCUUUGGACUGGGGGAGAUAACCGGAGUACCCGGAGGAAACCCCCGCAGCACGGGGAGAACAUGCAAACUCCGCACACACAGAGCAGCGGGAAUCAAACCCCCGACCCUGGCGGUGUGAGGCGAACGAGGCCCCCAAAACAGUCAUAUAGGUAACUAUUUUUUCACAGUAAACUGCUUCUUCAAACUGUCAACUUUGAGUUUACGAGUUUGUUUUUUUUUAAAUAAAUAAAUAAAAUAACGGGGCAACAGCCGUGGAAACGAUACUGAGGUUAAAAAGUUUUGACUGCGGAUUUUUAGUCUUGCAUGUUAGGACACAUGAUAGAAUUGCUGUAAAGUCAGUAAGACUUUGAGCUUAUUUAAGUGGAACACGCAUUUAAUAAAAGUAGUAUUUUUCAAACAUGAAACCCCUGUGAUCACGGACGGGUAUCUGAAGUUAUAGCAGCAUGAAUGUAAAAGGGCAUGAAACCCCUGUGAUCACGGACGGGUAUCUGAAGUUAUAGCAGCAUGAAUGUAAAAGGGCAUGAAACCCCUGUGAUCACGGACAGGUAUCUGAAGUUAUAGCAGUAUGACUGUAAAAGUUGGAAGCACACAAUUUUCUAGGAUGUAUUUGUAUGCUGUAGCACUACCAUUUCCCUUCACUGGAACUAAAAGGCCUAAACAUGUUGCAGCAUGACGAUGCCCCUGUGCACAAACAAGCUCCAUGAAGACAUGGUUUGCCAAUGCUGGAGUGGACGAACCCAAGUGGCCUGCAUAGAACCCUGUCCUCAACCUCACUGAACACCUUUUGGAUGAACUGGAACACCGACUGCUCGCCAGGCCUCCUCGUCCAACGUCCGUACCCGACCUCACUAAUGCUCUUCUGACUGAAUAAGCAAAUCUUU